CAUGACCUUAUUUUGACAAUAGGUUGAUCUCAUCAUGAUGUACUACCAUAUGUGACUGCAUAGGAUUUCAUCAUCCCCUAUGUGAGUUAUAUCCCCUUGAAGCGAUUUCUUUCCUUUGCAUUUUUCUCAAAAAGUAUUAGAGAUAGAAUCGAUUUGAAAACGGCAACAUAUACAGGAACUGAUGGCAAUGUUAAUGAACAUAUAAAAUAAUUUUGUUAUUGACCCUUAUAAGGAGUUAUUUCUCUUAAAAAAAUAUACACAAUUUUUGAAAAAUUGUAUUUCGAGAACCCUAAGUCGUAGAGACUUGGGACCUACACCAAUAAUCUUAAGUUCAUGUGACCUUCAAUUUGCACCCAAGGUCAAAGGUCACAGAGUGCAAAAAAACUUUACGCUGCAAUUUCAAGCUUGCAUAUUAAGAAAACCAUAAGAGUUUGCUGCAUACAUACUGUGUAUAAAAUGUUCCUCUCGACGAGCUCUACAUUUUAUACAUUAAGCUCAAAAAUGUCCGACUGUCUGUUCAAAAGUUACAUUAACAUAAUUCUUAAAACUAUAGUAACAUAUGUAUAUCUUUUAAAAGGUAACAGAUAUCAACCUACUAUAAACUGCAAAGAUGAUCAGUAAUUCAAGGCCUUCAAUUUGAGGUCAAUGUCAGGUCAUGAUGAAAUUUAACCUUGACCUUCAGAGUGUACUAUGACCUUGACCUUGUGACAUUUGAAAGGUCAAGUGGUCCUGAGUUGAAUAGUGGUAGUCCCAUGUCUCUACGACUUCCGAUUCUCAAGUUUGGUAUUGCAUUAUAUAUUUGAUGAUUCAUUAUGACCUUGAUGAACUUCGGAAUUGUCCCAAAUUUUUUUCUGUAAUGUUGUCCUUUUACUGUAGAUCAUUUUACUUUUAUCAUAUUUGAGAUAACUGUUGUCGUUUUAGAGAUAAUGCACUUUGAAAUUUUGCGAGCGGCGGCAUGUAUUUCUGAAUCAACAACAGGUAACCACCUGAUAUUUUCAGAAAAUGAAGAGUUUAACAUGGUUAUAUGUUUGACAAAAUACCAAAAUCUUUCAAUGAAAAAAAACCCCAAAAAAUCAAUUUGAAGUUUUCAUGUUUUGCAUUUACUUUGUAAGUUUCAUAAGUUCUAUUUAUAUAAUUGAUAUUGCAUCAUUUUUGGCACUUUGCCAAAUGGGGUCAUUUGAUAUAUCAAAUUGAAGGUCUUAACGAGCUCUACUCAAAAAUGAAAAUGUUAAACCCCUUUUUCAUCCUAGGGGGAAGGGUGGGGUCAUUUAGUGCAAAAAAUUCAAACUUCUCAGAUGGUUAGGUUGUCGCAUAUCAAAUGAAAGUCCAUAAAGCGUACAUUUCAAAUAUCAAAUUGACGUCCCCAAAAAAUGGGUUGGGUGGGGUCAUUGAGUGCAAAAAAUAAAAUUUUCUUUUAAGGCAAGUUUGUUGUAUUUCAAAUGAAAGGUCGUAACAUGUACAUUUCAAAUAUCAGAUUCCUGUCCUCAAAAAAUGAGUUGGAUGGGGUUAUUUAGUGCAAAAAUCAAACUUUCUAGAACAUGGCGUUGUCGCAUAUCAAAUGAAAGAUCAUAAAGUCUAGAUUACAUAUAUCAUACUUCCGAUCUCGAAAAUUAAGGCGGAUGGGGUCAUUAAGUGUAAAAAGCAAAAAGUUUCAGAAGGUAUGCUUGUCGUAUAUCAAAUGAAAGGUCGUACAAAGUACAUUACGAAAACAUCACUUUAACAGGAAAGACCUUUCAAUUGUUUUACAAACAAUUGAGAUACUAGUUCUUUUUCUUUUUCUUUUUUUUUUUUCUUUUUUUUCUUCCAACAUUUUUUUAACAUGCCCUACCCCCGUUUCUGUUGAAGUUAUCAAGACCAAAUAUGGACCAUCGAUAGACCUCAUCAUGAAGUAUAACCAGAUGACCCUGUUAAGGAUUUCAUCAACCCCUUUAGAAGUUAUCUCCCUUUUAUUGGUUUUUUUCGACAUGGCCCCCCCUCGUUGUUUUUUAAGAUAACAUGUCUUUUUGUGGGCAAUAGGUAGAUCUCAUUUUGGUGUAUUACCAUAUGAGGCUGCGUAGAAUUUCAUUAUCCCUUUUGAGAGUUAUAUCCCUUUGAAGCAAUUUCUUUUAUUUGCUUUUUUUUUCAAAAGUGUUAGAGAUAGAAUCGAUUUGAAAAUGGCAGCAUGUACAAGAACACAUGACAAUGUUAAUAAACAUAAACAAUUAUUUUGAUAUUAACCUUUAUAAGGAGUGAUUCCCCUUUAAAAAUUAUACACAAUUUAAAAAAAAUUCUAUUUCGAGAACUGGAAGUCGUAGAAACU